CUAGAAAUAAUCUAUAUUUUUAUACUAUAUACCUUCCCACACCAUAUAAUUUCUUAUAUGAUAUAAAAACUAAAAUGUAAACCUAAUCCAGCAGCCUCACCUUCACGCCUCUCACUCUCAUCUCAUCUCAGGUCUCUAUUCUAUAUCGAUGGUGUCUCUCUCUCUUCUCUUUCCCAUCUCAGACUGAGUUCUCUCUCUCUCACUCUCAUCCAUCUCAGAUCAGAUCGGUGUGCUGCUGCUCUCUCUCCGUCGAUCUCCAUCUCAGAUUAGAUCGAUCUAUAGCUGUUGUCUUCCUCUUUCGGUUCCCAGAUCAUCCAUCGCAGAUUAGAUCGAUUGUUCAUGUCAUCUACAAUGGAUUCAGUGAAUGUUUACAGGAAUGGAGUUGCUAUUUGAAUGGAAAUACUAGUGGCAUAGGAUGUUUACAGGUUUUCAGUUUAUGGAAAUGCUAGUGGAAUAGAAUGGAAAUGCUAGUGAAAUGAAAGUUUAAUUUGGAAUGGUUUACAGUUUAUAAUUUGAAAUGAAAAUGUAAUGUCUAUAUUUUUUUUGUUAUUUAA